CAGCCGCGGUAAUUCCAGCUCUCUAAGUGUAAAUCGUUAUUGUUGCGGUUAAAAAGCUCGUAGUUGGAUUUAUGGUGGAUAGUGUGCGUUCGCUCAUUCGGGCGUCAAUGCACACGCCAUCAUUUCGGCAGUCUGCGCUAUGUGCGAAAGUACAUACGUGACUGUCAAGUUUACCUUAAAUAAAUUAAAAUGCUCAAAAUAAGCGUAUGCUUGAAUAUCAUAUUAUGGAAUAAUGAAAUAGGACUUCGGUUCUUUUUGUUGGUUAUUGAAUCGGAGUAAUGAUUAAUAGGGAUAAUCUCGGGGGCAUUCGUAUUUCUGCGGGAGAGGUGAAAUUCUAUGAUCGCAGAAGGACGCCCUAAAGCGAAAGCAUUUGCCAAGAAUGUCUUCGUUAAUCAAGAACGAAAGUCAGAGGAUCGAAGGCGAUUAGAUACCGCCCUAGUUCUGACCGUAAACGAUACCAUCUAGCGAUCCGAUAGGGUCUAUCUAGCCUUGUCGGGGAGCUUCCCGGAAACGAAAGU
rnacentral:rRNA from 1 species